rnacentral:rRNA from 1 species
CCUACGGGAGUCAGCAGUAGGGAAUCUUCCACAAUGGGCGAAAGCCUGAUGGAGCAACGCCGCGUGGGUGAAGAAUGUCUUCUGAUCGUAAACCCCUGUUGUUAGAGAAGAAAGUGCGUGAGAGUAACGGUUCACGUUUCGACGGUAUCUAACCAGAAAGCCACGGCUAACUACGUGCCAGCAGCCGCGGUAAGACGCAGGUGGCAAGCGUUAUCCGGAUUGAGUGGGCGUAAAGGGAACGCGGGCGGUCUUGUCAGUCUGAUGUGAAAGCCUUCGGCUUAACCGGAGUAGUGCAUUGGAAACUGGGAGACUUGAGUGCAGAAGAGGAGAGUGGAACUCCAUGUGUAGCGGUGACAUGCGUAGAUAUAUGGAAGAACACCAGUGGCGAAAGCGGCUCUCUGGUCUGUAACUGACGCUGAGGUUCGAAAGCGUGGGUAGCAAACAGGAUUAGAUACCCCUGUAGUC